AGCAGCUUUGUUGUCACAAAAUAAGGACAAAUUGUUUGUCUCUACUAGUCUCAUUUCCUCCAUUAAUUUCCACAACCAUAGUAACUCACAAAUACCUUGUGUCAUAGCUAUGAAUUCUGUCUUUGCACUAGAUCUUGUUGUUAAAUUCUGCUUCUUACUGGUCUAAGUGACUAAAUUGCCACCAACAAAGGUACAAUAGCCUGAUGUUGAUUUCCUAUCAUCGAGAGAUCCAGCCCAAUUUGUAUCAGUAAAGGCUUUUAUUUGGAGGUGGCCAUGUUUUGAAAAAAGAAGUCCUUUUCCCGAUGCAGAUUUUAAAUACCUAAAUUGCGGAAGGCAGAGGUUCUCGAGGAUCGUGCAUGCACUGGCUAACUAGGCUUAUAACAUAAGGUAUGUCUGGUCUAGUAUGAGAAAGAUAA
rnacentral:misc_RNA from 1 species